AUGGAUUCUUCAUCUCGGAGGUGAAGUUGUCUUUUUCAUCUCAUGUCAAAACAAAUGAGGUAGUCAAAGCGUGUACUUCUACAUCAUUACAGUUGAAGCCUCCAGUAUGAUGAAUCUGUCUUGAGCUCUUUUUAGUUCCAGAGUGAGAUUAGAAAACGCAUUAGCAGAGCUCUUCAUUUAUUCUCAUGUAGUAUAGACCUCUCUUCCCAUCACUGUAAGUAGCACUUAAAUAAGGACACUCUCAAUCAGAUAGCAAGUUGCAGGACUUAUUUUGUUGGUGGUUAGGCUGGUCCAACCACCAUCUUAGUCAGUGUAUGGAGGGAUCUGAAGCUUGUAGGUGAGCAGCUGGGACCUGCUCGAACUGAAUACAAGGAACUUGCAGCUUCUAUUACAUGAGAUCUGCCAGCAUAUUUAAUGAUCCUUUUGUUGGAAUCUAAAUGGAAGGUGUUUUCAAAUGGGUCGGCAGUGCUGUGGUUGUACUGUAAAGGCACACUUGAACCUCCCUGCAGUCUUUUCCUGAUGGCUUUUCUGCAGGUCUUGGUUUAUGAAGAUACAGGUUACAGAGACAGGGCAUUAAGCAAGGACAUUAAGAACUAUUAUCUCCAGUAUUGAAUUUAGCCAGGCUACUUGUGUGUCAUCUGUCCUGGGUCUGUCACAAGUUCCUGGACCACAGCCCUCUGACACGUGGUGCCUUGCCCUUUUUCUUCUCCCUUGACUUAAAGGACUUUUGUGGGCAGCCUACGACUCGCUAUAGUCUAUUCCAAUGCUUAAAAUAGCAAUGUAUAUAAUCAGGGGAUCGUCUUUCAGCUCUGCUCCUCAAAUUUGCCUCUGGCCAUAGGGAUUAAGUCCUAGAGGGAGGGUUAGCUUAAUAUGUGACUUUGUACCAUAUAGCCCCAAAGUUAUAGUGUCUAUCAACUCUUCAGCAGCAAAGCUGAAGACGGCUACAGCUCAAAAGAGCAGAGCAGUAACUUCAGGAAUUAAUUGCCAAACAGUUCAGUCACCUGGAUUGCUUCCAAGUUGUCUUUUCUUAAGUAACAUAAUAUCUGUCUGGAGUUCAUUGAAAUUCUUUACAGCCUUUUCCAAGGAGAUCAGAAAAGGCCCUGGUCUUGUGCUGCGCGUGUAAGUCAUUUGUUGUGUAGAGUGUCAUGUCAAGUCCUGGUCCAUGUCCUUAUUCUGGCAGGUCUGUUGGUUGGGCAGGUCCCAGAGCCACAGCAACUCAAGCAGUGUUUCCUUCCAGGGUUUCUGAUCCCAGGCAAAAAGCAAACAGCUUGUCUUGGUGUCAGGGCUUCCUGAGCUUUAUCCAAGCUUAGAACGGCCCAAAGCAACACAGACCCAAGCAAGGGCUGCCUUGUAACCGUGCCCCUUUUAUUGCUGGGAGUGUCGCUUACAGUGGCCUGGGCUUCUCUCAGCUCUUAGGGAAGCUCAGACGUAAGUGCUGUCAAUGAGUCCAAGCAGUUGCCAGCUCUCCACACUGCAGCAAAAGGGUUUCUGGGAUUAUCCUGAACGAUUCCAUUUCGAACACUUUGUUUUGAACACUCUUGGUUUUGCUGGUUAAUCAAUGGACAAAAACACUGCAAUCCAGGGCAGCAUUUAUCAGGUUGGAUCUGUUGGUGUCAAACAAUCUUUUCCGUGUCUGUCUGAUAACACUCUCAAAAAACCCUGGCCCUGUGUGCUCUGUGGAUAGACCAUGACUCUUCUUCUCACCCUAUGGCCUUGCCUAACCCAGGUGACUUUAAUGCCAGUGAGGAGCGGUCCCACUAGGUGGCUCUACACAAAGCCUUCCUGCUGUUGUCUGAAUGACGAGCUUGCAUCAUCUGUCAGCAGACAUGCAAGAGCUUCGAUUAGAUGCAGAAUUUCCUUCUAGGAUCUCCGUUACAGCUUUGCAGGGAUGCUGACCCUUCUGAUGACGAGUCUGACAUAACCAAACCUUACUGCUCAGCCCAAGUCAGCAGCUUUCCAAAGGAGCAUGUUUUCUGACAGCUCUCCCCUAUUUCCCAAUGACACAUCACUAGAAACUCUGGAGAAAGCAUUCACCUCUUUGCAAGAGGAGCCCUUUCUCUGAAAUGCCAAACUGGAGGCUGCGUGGAGCCCUCAGAAAGGCAGGCCUGUCCUCUUCUUGUGCUGCCCAUGCAGCCGUGUUAGAACAGACUGAGUGACUUCUGAUGCUCUCGGUGAGCAGUGCGGUUUACUGUGAGAAUGUUCUCAAUUUGGCACAGUUAUACUCUGGAACAAUCUCUAAAUGCUGCCCUGAAGAAGCUUGUGUACCGAGAUACCCUCCUGCUGCCAUGUUCUGAGUCAGAUUCUCUGAAGCUGACAGCUGCAGGGGAGAUGAUUUGCAACUAGCAAUGCAAUUUUUCUAUAUCUGCUGAUG
rnacentral:lncRNA from 1 species